rnacentral:rRNA from 1 species
GACGAACGCUGGCGGCGUGCUUAACACAUGCAAGUCGAACGGAAAGGCUCCAUCUUGCUUGAGUACUCGAGUGGCGAACGGGUGAGUAACACGUGGGUAAUCUGCCCUGCACUCUGGGAUAAGCCUGGGAAACUGGGCCUAAUACUGGCUAUGACCUUUCUCCUUAUGGGGUUUGGUGGAAAGUUUUUCGGUGUAGGAUGAGCCCGCGGCCUAUCAGCUUGUUGGUGGGGUGAUGGCCUACCAAGGCGACGACGGGUAGCCGGCCUGAGAGGGUGAUCGGCCACAUUGGGACUGAGAUACGGCCCAGACUCCUACGGGAGGCAGCAGUGGGGAAUAUUGCACAAUGGGCGGAAGCCUGAUGCAGCGACGCCGCGUGAGGGAUGACGGCCUUCGGGUUGUAAACCUCUUUCAGCAGGGACGAAGCGUAAGUGACGGUACCUGCAGAAGAAGCACCGGCUAACUAGGUG